UACGGAGGGGGCGAGCGUUGUUCGGAUUUACUGGGCGUAAAGGGCGCGCAGGCGGCUAUCCAAGUCAGGCGUGAAAGCCCCGGGCUUAACCUGGGAACUGCGUCUGGGACUGGGUGGCUAGAGUUCGGGAGAGGAGAGUGGAAUUCCCAGUGUAGAGGUGAAAUUCGUAGAUAUUGGGAAGAACACCGGUGGCGAAGGCGGCUCUCUGGACCGAGACUGACGCUGAGGCGCGAAAGCGUGGGGAGCAAACAGG
rnacentral:rRNA from 1 species